rnacentral:lncRNA from 1 species
UUAGUUGAUCCUGCUACACCUUUUGGACAAUUUCUUUUCUCGUGACCAGUUUGACCGCAGUUCCAACAAGUUGCUUUCUUCCUCAUGGAGUUGCCAAUCUUGCUAGAACUCUUGGUUGGAUUUCCUUUCAAAGCCUUAUGCAGUCCAGCUUGAAUCAAUAAAUCCUUAACUUGUACUUAUCACAAGCCAAAAUUGAUUCUUUCGUCAAAUUUCUCUACGUCAUAUUUCAAUGACAUAUUUUUCUGUUGCUCCAAUACUCCGAAUCACCUGACGCUCUGAUACCACUUGUUGGGAAAUUUUACAUUCCCUUUUUUCUAUUUACUUGCAGUAUCUUUUGUUGUUCGGAAGAAUAUUAGCAAAUAAGAAAAAUAAAGAAUAUAACGCACGAAUUAAACGGACCGUCAAAAUUUUUCACUAUAUGAAAAAUUGUUACAAUCAUAUAUAAUUUCACUCACCAACCCAAUCCCAAAGUAUUACAAAGAAAAAAUAAACCCCGAGUUUUAUCACAUCUACUUUUCUACCCAAUGUACGAAAAGUCUCAAGAUGCUAGAUUCACAAUAUUUCUCUCUCAGAU